rnacentral:rRNA from 1 species
AUACACGCACACACACACACACACACUCACGAC